rnacentral:rRNA from 1 species
GACGAGGGACCCUAGCGUUGUUCGGAAUCAUUGGGCGUAAAGCGGGUGUAGGUGGCUUUGUAAGUCAGGUGUGAAAGCCCUGGGCUCAACCCAGGAAGUGCAUUUGAUACUGCGAAGCUUGAGUGCCGGAGAGGUUCUGGAAUACCUGGUGUAGUGGUGAAAUACGUAGAUAUCAGGUGGAACACCGGAGGCGAAGGCGGGUAACUGGCCGGACACUGACACUCAGACCCGAAAGCGUGGGGAUCAAACAGG